rnacentral:misc_RNA from 1 species
GAUGAAGAACGUAGCGAAAUGCGAUAAGUAAUGCGAAUUGCAGAAUUCAGUGAGUCAUCGAAUCUUUGAACGCACAUUGCGCCCUGUGGUAUUCCGCAGGGCAUGCCUGUUCGAGCGUCAUUUCAACCCUCAAGCCCCGCUUGGUGUUGGGCCCCGCCCGCCGUGGCCGGCCCUAAAGACAGUGGCGGCGCCGCCUGGCCCUCAGCGUAGUACAGCUCUCGCUCCAGGGUCCGGCGGCCGCCUGCCAGAACCCCCCAACUCUGUGGUUGACCUCGGAUCAGGUAGGGAUACCCGCUGAACUUAAGCAUAUCAUAAGCGGAGGA